GAUACAUGAGAGCCUAAGAAAGGGGCAGAGAAAACUGUCUCCUUUUUCUCUCUAGCACGGGAGAUGCACAGACCUGUCUGGAUACAGAGAGUAGAAUAAGAAUGAAAAGGAACCCUCCUCAACAAAGACAUUCCUAGGAAUAUUCAACAAACAAAAACCAGUGGAGCUAAGAAGUGAGUUUAGUAGAUUCUGGGUAGACAUGGCCACUGAACCAAAGUCCAUUCUAUUUACACACACUUGGACAAGCACUUCAAGUCUAACGUUUGGGUAACAUUUAUGUAA
rnacentral:lncRNA from 1 species